GGGGCGGGGAGUGAUCAGAGACUCCAGGGUGGGAUGCUCCAUGCCCCCUGGAAGAUGACCAGGAGCUGUCAGGUGGCGGUGGAGUCGUGGGAAGUGGAGAGCGCUGAGCUGGCCUGAGCUGCCUGACUUCUGCUGGAGACUAGAGUGGACAAGGCCAGGGCCCGGCGACGGGAUGGCGCUCGGGCCGCAGCCCGGAGGCCUCACAGAGCAGCUGCGCAGCAGCCUCAGGGCUACACAGAAGCAGAACAGCCCCCUCGGCCCUCACUUUGCACAAGCUGCAGGGCAAGGACAGCUGUGCCCCGCAGACAGCUCCCGGACCGCUGUCCCCUGCCACCUGCCCCUGCUGCUGCCCUGGAAGGGGACGGUUCCUGCAAGGCCAGGAGGGAGCAAAAGGCCACUGUUGCCAGGUGAUCCACGAGAACAGGCCCCUCCCACCCGAGGCCAGGCAGGUGCUGUCCAGCUGCACACCGUGGGCCCUGCUGGCACCGGCCGGUCCCAUCCUACUCUCCACAGAGCGCCGGCCGCUGCGAAGAAGGCAGCCUCCUGACCUGUUACCUCACGUUCUUCUUGGUUUCUCCUCUUCUUGCUGCCUCAGCCUGGGGUGGCCAGCACUGCCCGGGCCCAGCACAAGCUCCCCUGGACCAGGAGCUCACUGACACUCCCGCCCCUCAUGGCCCCACGCAGCGCCCAGGGGCAGGAUCUUGGCCCCCACUGGAAAGUUCUCUGAGCCCAGCCCAGCAGAGGGGCUUCCUUCGAGUCUGUGAAAACGGGAGCAGGCUGCCAAGGAAGCCCUGGGCUUUGGGCAGCAGGACCCAAGGGAAAGGGAAGUUUCCAGGGGCUCGGAUCUUUUUUCAUGCUGACUUAUGGUUGUGCAGUUUCCAUUCAUUCUUCUUCUAAGCCCAUAACAUUUUAGCAUGUCAGGAAAACUUGAAGGCACAUAAUCAAACCCCCUUAUUUCACAUAGUAGGAGAUUGUGGCCCAGAGAGGUUAACUGACUCACAGAGAGACACACAGCUAGUUAGUGGCAGAGCAGGGAUUAAAUCUGUGACUCUGUGUUCCAGCGGCAGGGCUCCUCCUAUCCUGUGCUCCAAGUCACAGUUCCUCCACCCUGUUGGAGUCCCUCGGGGUCAGCUGCCCACGGCUCCCACUAGCCUCAGCACAGCUCAGGGCCGAACAUGAAAAUAUGAGACUCACACAUUUAUGGCACCUUUGUCUCACUUUUACAGUUCAGCACCAGCGCCUGCUUUCCUGCACUCCACUCCCCACUCUGGGACAGUUGGUUAUGGCUGGUCCCCAGCUGACCAUGGCCUUGAAACACCGCCACAGCCUCAUACAGACUCCAAGUAGACACGCACGUGUGUGUGCACUCAUGUGCCCACGGCUGACACCAGGCAGACCCAUCCCUGUCCAUGAGCCUUGGACCUACUCAGCCAUUCUAAGGGGAAUGACCCACGCUGUGCUCCACCUGUGAUCCAGACCCUGCAGAGCCACACUGCAGGGCCCUCGGGAUUCAGGAAAUCAAUGAGACAAGAUCCGCACACAAGUGUCUGUGUGGAGAGGCCCUCCGUGGAGGUGCCCCUGCUGCAGGUGGACGACAGGAGAGUCACAUCUGUGUGGACAGGUGAGGAAAAGGUCGCCCAGCAGCUAAGCCAGGGAUCAGACUUCCACAGAGCUGGUGGUCCAGGCCCAGGGCCCCUCACCAGGGCACUGUCACAUACCGGGCCAAGGAGAGCUUGCCCAAGAGCCUGUGGACCCUCUGGAACAUGCUCUCUCUUCCCCCCACCUCCCCAUGGGCAAAAAAAUAAAAGUAGGAUUAAUUUGCAAAGGGAAAAACUCCAUAAAACCAAAAAGAAACUGAGACCAUGUUUUAAGAGAUAACAGCCCAAGUUUCUCCAAAUCAUGGGGCACCGUCUCCAAGUCUUUUACGUAACAUCCCUUUAAUCUCAGAGUCACAAUCAGGCACCAGCACAACACCCCCUUUUUCAGGGAAGACCCUGGGAGUGCUGGGUAGACAUUUAGGGCCUGCUGUUACAGGCUGCCGUUCUUGCCCACCACAAGACCAUUCCGUAAAUUUGUUUUCUUCUCUACUCUGACCCGGCAGGAGAUUACUGCUGCUGGAAAAGCCAUCUGUCGCGUGUUUGGGACUGGCUGCCUCCUUCCUUCAGUCCCCAUCCCCCGCCACACAGCCUGAAGCUCAGCGCUCUCACCGAGGCAAAUCAGUCUCAAGAGCACGAACUUCGUCUUCCAGAGCUCAUCAAAUGGACACAUGUGACCCUGUGCACGGACCUCCUUUCUGCUUCUGUGUGGCUGACACAUCAUACCUUGUGUUUGGCUUCAGGUUCUCAAUGGGCAAGUGAGUCACAGAGGAAGCCUGAGUGGACCACUUGUUCCUGAUGA